rnacentral:rRNA from 1 species
GACGAACGCUGGCGGUGUGCUUCACACAUGCAAGUCGAACGAGGUAGCAAUACCUAGUGGCGGACGGGUGAGUAACGCGUGGGAAUCUGCCUUUAGAUGGGGGAUAACGGGUCGAAAGACUCGCUAAUACCGCAUAUGACGAAAGUUGAAAGGAGUAAUCCGUCUAAAGAUGAGCCCGCGUCCGAUUAGCUAGUUGGUAGAGUAAAAGCCUACCAAGGCGACGAUCGGUAGCUGGUCUGAGAGGAUGAUCAGCCACAAUGGGACUGAGACACGGCCCAUACUCCUACGGGAGGCAGCAGUGGGGAAUUUUACGCAAUGGGCGAAAGCCUGACGUAG